rnacentral:tRNA from 1 species
AGGGCUGGGGCUCAGUGGUAGAGCGCUUGCCUGGCACGCAAGAGGCACUGGAUUUGAUCCUCAGCACCA